CCUUAUGGACAAGCAAAGAAAGUAGUUUCUUGAGAUGGGAUCUACUUCUGAUGAAAAUACUAUGAA
rnacentral:pre_miRNA from 1 species